UCCCUGAUAGCUCAGAUGGUAAAGAAUCUGCCUGCAAUGCAGGAGACCCUGGUUUUAUUCCUGGGUUGGGAA
rnacentral:tRNA from 1 species